UACGGGGGGGGGUAAGCGUUGUUCGGAAUUACUGGGCGUAAAGGGCUCGUAGGCGGCCAACUAAGUCAGACGUGAAAUCCCUCAGCUUAACUGGGGAACUGCGUCUGAUACUGGAUGGCUUGGAUCCGGGAGAAGGAUGCGGAAUUCCAGGUGUAGCGGUGAAAUGCGUAGAUAUCUGGAGGAACACCGGGUGGCGAAGGCGGCAUCCUGGACCAACACUGACGCUGAGUGAGCGAAAGCCAGGGGGAGCAAACGGG
rnacentral:rRNA from 1 species